rnacentral:rRNA from 1 species
AGGAGGCUGAUGCGGGGAUAAAAUCAUUAUCAUGCGGUUUAAUUCGAUGAUCCGCGAAAAACCUUACCAACUCUUGACAUGGUAGUCGCGAAAAAUGGAGACAUUUUUCUUCAGUUUGGCUGGACUACACACAGGUGUUGCAUGGCUGUCGUCAGCUCGUGUCGUGAGAUGUUGGGUUAAGUCCCGCAACGAGCGCAACCCUUAUUCUUAUUUGCCAGCGGGUAAUGCCGGGAACUAUAGGAAAACUGCCGGUGCUAAGCCGGAGGAAGGUGGGGAUGAGGUCAAGUCAUCAUGGCCCUUAUGAGUUGGGCUACACGCGUGCUACAAUGGUACCUACAGAGUGAUGCGAUACGGUGACGUGGAGCUAAUCAUUAUC